GGGGGCGUUCCGGUUUCGACGGGAGCCCUUGCGCUUAGGAGGCAUGCCGGGGGUCCACACCACCCGUAAUCGGAGUGGGUCAAAGACAACUGCCAACACGCAGUAUGCCUACGCUGCCUAAUUAAUUAGGUGGCCGUCUCCUCCUUCAGGCCCGCAUGAUGGAACGAGGCGUCGAUUGGCGGGCUAGUUCGGGAUUCAACGCUUCGGGAUUCCGGGCGAGAUCCCCGCGAGGGGAAGGAGGCUAGCCGGCGGUCCGUUCUUGCCCGUUCCUGAGAACCGCGGGCGAAAGCAAGAAGCGAAUGGGCUAAGCAUGUAGGCUUCUCUGCGUAAGACUCUUCGGACGGGGGUUCGACUCCCCCCGCCUCCACGU
rnacentral:tmRNA from 1 species